rnacentral:rRNA from 1 species
UGGGGAAUAUUGCACAAUGGGCGCAAGCCUGAUGCAGCCAUGCCGCGUGUGUGAAGAAGGCCUUCGGGUUGUAAAGCACUUUCAGCGAGGAGGAAGGUGGUGAGCUUAAUACGCUCAUCAAUUGACGUUACUCGCAGAAGAAGCACCGGCUAACUCCGUGCCAGCAGCCGCGGUAAUACGGAGGGUGCAAGCGUUAAUCGGAAUUACUGGGCGUAAAGCGCACGCAGGCGGUUUGUUAAGUCAGAUGUGAAAUCCCCGGGCUCAACCUGGGAACUGCAUUUGAAACUGGCAAGCUAGAGUCUCGUAGAGGGGGGUAGAAUUCCAGGUGUAGCGGUGAAAUGCGUAGAGAUCUGGAGGAAUACCGGUGGCGAAGGCGGCCCCCCUGGACGAAGACUGACGCUCAGGUGCGAAAGCGUGGGGCAGCAAACAGGAUUAGAUACCCUGGUAGUCCACGCUGUAAACGAUGUCGAUUUGGAGGUUGUGCCCCUUGAGGCGUGGNUUCCGGAGCUAACGCGUUAAAUGACCGCCUGGGGAGUACGGCCNCAAGGUUAAAACUCAAAGGAAUUG